rnacentral:rRNA from 1 species
GACGAACGCUGGCGGCGUGCUUAACACAUGCAAGUCGUACGGUAAGGCCCUUUCGGGGGUACACGAGUGGCGCACGGGUGCGUAACACGUGCGUAACCUGCCCACAACUUUGGGAUAACGCUAGGAAACUGGUGCUAAUACUGGAUAUGUGCUCCUGCUGCAUGGUGGGGGUUGGAAAGCUCCGGCGGUUGUGGAUGGACUCGCGGCCUAUCAGCUUGUUGGUGGGGUAGUGGCCUACCAAGGCGGCGACGGGUAGCCGGCCUGAGAGGGUGACCGGCCACAUUGGGACUGAGAUACGGCCCAGACUCCUACGGGAGGCAGCAGUGGGGAAUAUUGCACAAUGGGCGCAAGCCUGAUGCAGCAACGCCGCGUGCGGGAUGACGGCCUUCGGGUUGUAAACCGCUUUCAGCAGGGACGAAGCUUUUUGUGACGGUACCUGCAGAAGAAGCACCGGCUAACUACGUG